CCCAGCCAAGACCCAUCACUAUGAGGCUUCAACUUAGAACAGAGACCCGGUAGCUUUCUAGAAGGGAGGACAGUAAGAAUACAGGCUCCCCUAUGAGGCCAGUGAGCAGGGUCUGUUGGAGUAUCUUGGAAGCCCAUCAGAGAGAAAGAAGCAGGCCAGACCGGACAUGACUCAAGCAAAAGCCUGGAGGCCUGGGUGGGACUCAGGACCCACGUAAAGACGAAAAGUGAGAACUAACUCUGCUAGGCUGUCCUCUGACCUCCACAUUUGUGGCGCAACACUGAGUCCGUGCUUGAACAAACAGAUGUAAUUUCAAACUGUUUUCUGAUCUGAAAGUCUUUCUCACUCACAACCUUUCUCAGGGCGCUACCGUGUGAGGGGCGGGGCAAACGAGGAAGCCUCCUGCAAAGGCAAGAAGCCAGCAGAUCCCUAGAUGACGGUGGAGGGAGAUCCUGGGAUGGUGGUCAGGGAUCAGUCCUCAGGGGAACGGAUCCGAGGACUCCAUCGAAUGGAGACUCCCACGUAGCUGAGGAGGAUCUUGAACUCCUGACCCUCCGUUCUCUACUUCCCAAGCAUAAGGAUCACAGAAGGUUCAUCAGCACCAGGUGUCUAGCUUUGCUGUGGGAAUCACAGGGUUGGGGAGCCUGGCGCUCCAGCAUCCUGAGAGACCCAUUCUCCUCCAGAUGGCUCCUGGUGUUCCCUGCACCAUAUCUGCCGUCCAACUUCAGGAAGAAGCUCAAGAAGGCAUUGGAGGGAAGGAGCCAGAGGUGUGUCUUUGCAUCACAGAGUGCCUGGUGCCCUCAGCGAUCAGAAGAGGGCAUUCGAUUCAGAACUGGAGUUACAGAAUCUUGUGAGCUGCUGUGUUGGUCUUGGGAGUUGAACUUGGGUCCUCUUGAAAAGAUAAAGCCAUAUUAAAUGUUGAGCUAUCUCUCCA